GUUAAACUUAACAACAAAUACAUUGCCGGAAAAUCUGCUCCGUGAAACUAUGUUAGGAAGCCAAUGGACUUUUUAUUUCAUGUGAGUAAAUAGUGUGUUUGUCUUUAGACUUGUGUAGAACCACAGUGUCUCUCAACGUGGGUUUAACAUGGACGAAUAUGACGAACUGUUCGAGAUCCAGGAUGAGUUCGAGGACCACUUCGCAGACGAGCUGAGGUUCUGGCUCAGAUGGAGGACGAAGCUCCCAAGGCAGACGGAUAUCAGACUCGGGCUAAAGGAGACAACAUUUCAGUCAUAAUGCACCUGCUGGGUGAGGAGCCCACCACUCAACAGGCCAAAUGGCAGAAGCAGGAACAGGGUGUGGUCAAACGGCCUUUCAGCAAAUCACCAACUCAAAGUGUGACGUCGCAGAAUGCUGUCGCAGGGAGAGUACAUCAGUGUGACGCGCUCGUCAGGGAGUCGGGUCUACCUCCGACAGAAAGAAGAAUUAGGGACAAAGGUUAAACUCCUAAGCAGUGACACACAGACCCUUAACAGUAGUGGAAACCAGAGUGGCACCAAACUCCCAGGGUGCACUGGGGCUUCUGGCGGGGCCAAUAAGGGUGCUGAGAGAAGAAGAAGCUGAGAGGCGCCAUCAGCAGGUUGUGUUGGAAUCUCAGCACCUCACAGAGCUGCUGGACAGGUAUCCCCAACCCCCCUAUUUAAUCUAAUUUAUACACACAUGCACGAUGGGCUUGUUAAGUCUGAAAGCAGAGAAGAUGAAAAUCCUGAAGAUCCUGAAAAUCCUGAUGACACAGAAGGUUGAAGAUCGAGUCUCUGGGUCGACAGAUUUUCUCCCCGACACUACACAGAGCUACUCAGUGAUGAUUUUAACAACCGCUGUCUGCUGAAGGUUUGGGGAAGACCACCCUGGCUCAUGCUAUUGCCAAACACGCUGGAUACUAUGUCGUGGAAAUCAAUGCCAGGACAUGACAGCAGUAUUAGCCCAUGGGGCCGUCAGAGAGGCGACUGAAAGCAGAACCCACAUCCUUCCUCCCAGAGGGGGCAGGGGAAGGUGCAGUCAUCCUGUCGGGUCAGCUGUCGAACUCUUGGUGCUGUAAAAGAUUUUGUGUGCGAGAAAAGAUCCCUCUUCCACUAUUUCGGGAAAGCUGGACAUGACAGCAACGCAGCUUCACCGGAACACUGCAGCCAAGUCUUUCUGCAUUGAGGGGAGUCAUUUAUUGGCAUGUUAUUUAUUAGGAAAUAAAAAACCCUCGACAGGCACUGCCUCUUACGAGGUCAGGAUCAGAUGCAAGGACAGAAUGCAGACCGGGUGAGGUGGGGAUAUGAGUGUCACUCAAAGACACCUGUGGUGGAGGGGGGCCCAUGCAGGGGCCGUUAACCUGAUUCCUGCAGUCCCCCCACACACCCGGCUGUCAGGAUUACUAUUAGUAUCAUAAAACAGUACACAAAGUUAAAGCUCAUAUAUUGACUUGUUGCAAUUAGUAGAUUGAGUUGUGCCUCUUAUACUUGUGAGAUAUUAAUAUCUUAUCAGUGCUGUGGUUUUCAUGCUUUUAUGGACUUGAACUGUUAACAUUCCUUGAUGCUGCAGUGUAUGAUGAAUUGAUUACUGGAGCCACAACUUCCUGUAACUUUCACAGGAUUCUUGUUUAAGUGGAAAUGAAUUGUAGUCUGUCCAACAUUACUGUUCAUUAAACACAGUAGUAUUAUUUAUUUUUGAUUGUGUAUACAAACUAGAGUGGCACUCAGAGAACACUAACCGCCGCCAAGAGACUUCAUUUAAAUUCACUAGAUCCAGAUUUGUAUUUGGAUCUAGAUCAAAUAGCUCAAACUCAAUAAAUAAGAGUCCCUUUAAGGUGCAUGAUUUGUAUUUAUUUUUUAUCAUCAAGAGCCAUUAAUUAUCUGCAGUCAACGUAAAUGUUGAAAAAUGUCAAAUAUUAAAGACACUCCUGGAUCUUCCCCCUGAUCUGGAUCCACACCAAAGCUUAAUGGGUUCUUUCUUGGACCACACCUGAUCCUUUUCCAGUUUUGUGUCAAUCUGUCCGGAAGUUUUUGCAUAAUCAUACUAACAGACAGAAAGACCGACAAAUGCAAAUUAACUUUAGUGGAGGUUAUAACCUGAAAAUCUAAAGCUGUUUGUUAGAGACAGUUCAUGUUGAUUAAAGACUGUUGUUGGAGGUUUCUUCUAUUUUUGUGUCUAAUACGUCAUCAUAUGUAAAUAUUUUAUCCUUAACAAUCCAGUCUGGGAGAUUUUCUGUUGUUUGACCCACAAUGACUUAAGUUAUCAGGUUACAUGAGUGCAGAGCUGGUUGUAAAGCCCCAUGCGUGACUUAAUUAAAAAUAAAACAUAAAUGUGACUUCUUAUCGCUAUAAAUGAUGUAAAUCUCUUUAAAUGAUUUAACCCAAACUGUAUUUAUAUAAAAUAAUGCAGAAAGGUUAGGUGCACAUCCCUUUCCAUAUUCAGACCAGGUGCAGGUUUAUGUAUUCAGCACCCACACACUCCAAACACCAAACAGCCUAUGCUGUGUCCCAAAUCCACUAAUGGGAACAAUGUGUGCAACAGAUGGGUAGUCCAAUCUCACUGCAAUUAAAUUUACCAGGGAUAAUUAUAAUGUGUGUCUUAUGAAUUUAUUUUUCGUUGUCCUUUCUGGAUGUGUCUAACAACCACUCAAUUCAUUUUGUAUUUUCCAAUUUGAGUGCAGCUUCUUUUCUUUGUGCAUUUGCAUCCCGGCAUCUCGCAAGCAAACACAAAAUGGAUGCAUGCUGUCCACUUUAUACUGUUUUACUACUUUUACUUUACUUUGUGACUUUUCCACUGUGAACACAUUAUUAAUUUGUUAUUAGAAAUGUACAGGUAUGUCAACUGCAUUCUAGGCUUGCGAAUAACAUCAAAUUCACCCAACCAACCAAAUGGUCCAUUGCAAAUCUGCAACAAAAGAGGGCUACAAUCACAGAUACUAUAGACACUAUAUACAUCUACAAAAAAAGAGAUGAAUAUUUUGGAUUUGGUUAAAAUUUCAAAAUUAUUUAGUUCAGGAUAGGUAGGACAGACAGUUUUAAGGAAACUCAUAUUUCAUUGACCUCUGUGACUUUCAAAUAACGACCAUCAACAGUUACUUGAAACAAGUGCCCUUACAGAGGGGCCUGUUGAUCCCUUGGACCACUGGGCCUGUGCUGAACCUCAUAGGCAUCUAUCUUUUCUCAGAAGCUUUUGAAAUGUGAGCAUGGGCACCAAGUUAAAGCAGAUAUCAAUACGCAAUGAUAAGAAAAGGUAACCACUGGAAAUGUUCUUUUACAAAAUAACUUCCUAGAUUUAAUCAUACAUUAUAUUAGAACAAUCACAUAUUGCAAUUUUUGUUGUUUUGGAUAUUGCUUGAAAUGAAUAAAGCUGCUGUUUUGUGUAACAA